GCUGCCGCUGCCGGCGGCGCUGUCGGCGGUGUCGCUGCCGCUGCCGGUGCCGCUGUCGACGGCGGCCAGUUCGGCGCCGGCGGCAACC
rnacentral:tRNA from 1 species